AAAAAAUCCAGGAAGUCAGACAAAAGGAUAUACAUACUUUGCACUUCUAGUGGAAGAUAUUAUGGGGGAAAAAACCUGAAAUUAUUUCAAGCCUAAGCAACCCAUAUUAGCCUGAACUUGGUUUUUAAUUAUUUUCUGAAAACACUGAGCAGCAGCAACACGCACUGCUCAAUCAGGUUAAUUGGAAUGACUUCAAAAUAGCUUAGUUUUUAAACAGCCAUUGUGUAUUAAGACAUCUCCCAACAAACAAGUUAUGACUAACAUGAUCAUUACUCAAUAAUUUCAUAUACAAAAAUGAAGCAGCAUUAAAUGCAGUAGUUAAAAGUCAGGCUGUAAUCCAUUCAUUGGCAGGUGGGAAGCUGGAUAAUGAAAAUGACCAAGUUUGUCAUGAUUCCUUUAUAAGCUGAACGGUUAAUGGUGUGCAAUCAUGACCAUGUACAAAUGGCAUUAAUGUGAGCAGAGGGAUGGUCUCUGUGAUACAAGGACACGAGCUGAAGUUUCGUAUAGUCAAGCAAAAACGUUUGAAAACAUCUAAAUAUCAUAUAGGACUACUGUUGUUGCACAGACACCUUCACAAAUAAUCCGUUUCAUCCCAUGGGAGCCGGAGAUGUCGAGAAGCCCAAAGACUGUAAAGUAUGAGGCAAAAUAUGCAGAACAUUCAACAAGAGCUCUGCAGUAAGACACAAUUGCAGAAAUAUCGGCUAUUGAUAAAUACCUGCUCGGAGAUG